UGCAGGACUCCUUGAGAGUCACACAGUAUAUAACCUGGUUCUUUUCCUCCACACAGCAUGAUGUAAGCAGAAGUUACUCAUUGCAACUCUGUAGAAUGUUAUUCAGCAUGACAUGAAAAUCACGUGGCAGAAGUGAGUUUCUGUCACUAAGAGACACUGCCCACAACGAGCACCUUGCUGUGGGUUUUGUUCUACGGGCACCAGGAGAAAUGUGUUGGGAUCUGGGAAAUAAAUUAUUCUCCACCAGAGCAAACGCCAUAUUGUUCAUCUGUUUCUUUAAACUGAACUUUGAAUAGCAGUCUGUGGGAGAAACUGAAACAGGGCAAAGCCUUAUGUCUAAGUAACAUCAACAGCUGAGGCUUUUACAUGACGCCUGGCAUUGGCCAGGGAUGAAGGAUCUCACUGCAGUCACAAACCUGUUGUUCCACCUCCCUCCAUACACAUACACACAUACAAAUAUGCACACAGAGUUCAGCAGCUGUGUUCUACAGUCAGCUCAUGCUUUUCCCAGUCACCCAUGUCCCACUACAUCACCCGCCCAGCUUUUAAGCCUGUGCCUGAUCCCAGUACACAGCAGCUCUCAGCUGCCGUUUCAAGGAGGAAGAGGACCAGGCCACAGCCCGUGGAACUAUGCCUCCUUCCCAAGACAGCCCUGGGGUGGUGAGGCACCUCUGUUCAUUUGGCUGGCCAGCACGGGGUCAACCUUUGCAGCACCCGGUGCCUGGAUCCUAGGGGGUGUGAGCUGUUGUUGCCACCUCUCUGAGGAGCCAUUUUGAUGGCUCCGUACCACUGAAUGGUGGAAAUGAUUCUCUGAGGAUCUUUUCAGGUGCAUUGCUAAUUUACAAGGAAUCCUGCUGAUGGGUUUUCAUUGUGUAACAGCCGACCUCAGGGCCAGAAAUGAACAGAGAUGUUAAAUCAAAGCAAGUCCCCACCAGUUCCCAUGUCAGGAGCUCAGCCAGCUCUACGUCUGACCUCUGUGGCUCAGGCCCGUUCUGAGCUCUGAUGCUCAGCAAGCUGAAAGGACUUGGCAGUUUCUCCAUAUUGCUUAUAAGCAUCCAUCAAAACAACUGUAAAUGAGUUAUGUUUCAAGUAUGCAAGAGGUUGGUUCUCUAUGCCAAAAAACGAUUAGCGUUCUCAGGCUUCCAGCAAUGCAAAGCAGAGUCUGAGAUGUCCUGAUGAGAGAUAUAUGCAUUUCCUCUUAGACAAUUAAUAUUAGGGGUGGGUUUUAUUGCCAUUCUUUUUUAUGUUGUUAACAUCCUGCCCUCUUUCCUGGUUCCUCCCAAAGAGCUACAAUGCAAUUUGCAAAACUCCCCUUUGUGAGAUGUAAACAUUUACUAAACAUUGUCUUUUCACUUUGUAUUAUGACAAAAGAAUAGAAGUCAAGAUGUUAAAUAUAUUUCUGUAUUUGCAUCUGAAAGCCCCAGGCCUUCCUGCACACACUGCAGAUAACUUCCAUUGUUUGGAGCACAUUACCUUUUCUGUAGAUCAACAUCUCCACAAAAAUCCAAAGGCGAGGCCUUUUCUGAAGCACUUUGUUGGACCGUCUCUGACUCCGUGCAUUGCAGACGUGUGAACACCGUAUGAUGAUCGCCUGUGUUACUCCAUCUCAUUAUUUAAUACUGAGACACACACAGCCUGCCUCACAAACUCACAGCUGGGGAUGUGAAAAUGAGAGGUCAGCACAUCAGGCUCAUUUUCCAGCGCAAUUACAGAUAAACCAGAGGUUGAAACUACCUCUUCAGAGGUCAUUCCUGGAGCUGUCGUGCACUUUGGCACCAAAGCCUGGAGUGGUUACACUGAUCCAACUGUCUCUGUGGGACAGCCAGGCUCUUUCGGCUCUCACGGGGGUUCUGCAGGCUGCCAACAGACUCAGCAGCCACCGAGCAGCCCGGGAGGGCAGCAACUGUGGGCGAACCCUGAACCUGGAGCACAAACCACCAGCGAGCUGAAGACUCUCCUAAAGUCAAAACACCUGGAAACACUUCAGUCACUUCCCUCACGUCUCCGCUAGAUAGAAAAAAUCCAGUGGCUUCAUCAGCUCCACCUCUGCCAGAAGCCUUCGAAAUGAAAACAGGACCUUAAACCUAGUUUUGAUGGAGAUUAAGCGUGGAACAUCCAAAGCUCUUUUUCCAGCCUCAUUAGCUGCCCCAGGCGGACCUUUGCCACGAUGGCAGCACGCAGCAGACCCAUGCUGCUCUCAUUUUCACUCCUUUUGCAUUUGCUUCUUUAUGCUUGCUGCAAACCUAUGCUCUACAGGUAGUAGGAAAUGGCUUUGACUCACGUUGUAAUGUUCUCCAAGGGCUUAAAAUAAAACUAGUUUUCACAGUCGUGUUUCAUAUC
ensembl:lncRNA